CGUAGGGCAAGCGUUGUCCGGAAUUAUUGGGCGUAAAGCGCGCGCAGGCGGCUUCUUAAGUCAGGUGUGAAAGCCCACGGCUCAACCGUGGAGGGCCACUUGAAACUGGGAGGCUUGAGUGCAGGAGAGGAGAGCGGAAUUCCACGUGUAGCGGUGAAAUGCGUAGAGAUGUGGAGGAACACCUGUGGCGAAGGCGGCUCUCUGGCCUGUAACUGACGCUGAGGCGCGAAAGCGUGGGAGCGAACAGGAUU
rnacentral:rRNA from 1 species